rnacentral:lncRNA from 1 species
CUCGGAAUGUGAAAGAAGGUUCUAGAACAUCUGGCCAGGCUCUGUGAAGACUGUGCUCUCUCCAGCCUCUGGGUGACAGCUAGAGAAUGGAGACAGGAGUGAAGAGAGAGCCCGCACUCAUGGGUUGGGCCUCGCUCGAAAGAACUGAGAAGUAUCUGUUUAGGCAUAAAAGCUGAAAACAGUGUCCAAGGCGCCUUUCAAAAAGAAUCAUUUUUGUAGCUCAACCACAGCCAAGCCGAUUUUUUUUUAAUGCAAAAAAUAAAUAAAUAUUACCCCACUCCCGGUCGA